rnacentral:tRNA from 2 species
GCCGAGGUGGCGAAAUUGGUAGACGCGCUGCGUUCAGGGCGCAGUGGGGGUAACCCCAUGGAGGUUCAAGUCCUCUCCUCGGCACCA